rnacentral:rRNA from 1 species
GCUUAACACAUGCAAGUCGAGGGGCAGCACAGGGUAGCAAUACUUGGGUGGCGACCGGCGCACGGGUGAGUAACGCGUAUGCAACUUACCUAUCAGAGGGGGAUAGCCCGGCGAAAGUCGGAUUAAUACCCCAUGAAACAGGGGUCCCGCAUGGGAAUAUUUGUUAAAGAUUCAUCGCUGAUAGAUAGGCAUGCGUUCCAUUAGGCAGUUGGCGGGGUAACGGCCCACCAAACCGACGAUGGAUAGGGGUUCUGAGAGGAAGGUCCCCCACAUUGGUACUGAGACACGGACCAAACUCCUACGGGAGGCAGCAGUGAGGAAUAUUGGUCAAUGGCCGAGAGGCUGAACCAGCCAAGUCGCGUGAAGGAAGAAGGAUCUAUGGUUUGUAAACUUCUUUUAUAGGGGAAUAAAGUGGAGGACGUGUCCUUUUUUGUAUGUACCCUAUGAAUAAACAUCGGCUAACUCCGUGCCAGCAGCCGCGGUAAUACGGAGGAUGCGAGCGUUAUCCGGAUUUAUCGGGUUUAAAGGGUGCGUAGGUGGUGAUUUAAGUCAGCGGUGAAAGUUUGUGGCUCAACCAUAAAAUUGCCGUUGAAACUGGGUUACUUGAGUGUGUUUGAGGUAGGCGGAAUGCGUGGUGUAGCGGUGAAAUGCAUAGAUAUCACGCAGAACUCCGAUUGCGAAGGCAGCUUACUAAACCAUAACUGACACCUGAAGCACGAAA